GAAAGGAAAAGGGAAACACUGAAAAAGAUUAACUGACUUACCCUUAAUUAGUGUUUGCCACUAAAUACAAAUAAAUAUAAAUGAAAAUAACCGGAGUACCGGCCACCAUUUAUUGACUGUAUACUGAUCAGUAUGACUAAAUACUGAUUGGUAUAGAGUAGCAUUACAGAGACUUUCAUAAACUAAUUUUAACUCAUAGAUACAAAGUAUACCUCUUUCAAAAUGAAGAUUUAUUAAGUACUUCACAAUCUUGCUAAGUACAUCACAAUUGAUAGGACUUUGAUUCCUCCCAACUCAGAGGUAAGCAUUUCAGAACUUACAGUGAGAAACCUAUUCCCAUAGAGCAACAGGCCAAGAAUACACAGUUGUCAGUGGGAGGCGCCUAAACCUGAACUGCCCUGAGCUGUUAGCCACAUAAUAGGCUUGCUUAGUCAUAGAACACUAACGCAAGAAUCUGUGCAGGUAAAUGAAGCCUAACCUUAACCUGCAGGAAAGGCUGCAGAGUCAGACUCCUGUCUCAACUGACAGGGCCCUGCGAGAAGGAACAGCGGAGCACUUGAAAUCAGGUAGCACGUCAGCACUCAGACCCAGGGAAGCCUGCCAACUCCCGGCCUCUGCCUCCAAACUCACCCAGGGUGCCCUGGCUCCAGCAGCCUUACAGGGAGGUGUGCCACUCCUAACUCUGAAACAGGGGCCCACAGAGAGCUACUGGAGAGAAUGUCUACAGGAAAGAGGCAGGGAGCAGAAAAUGAUUGCUCACACAUUUACCUUUCUUCGAGUCAGGCAAGAAUGGACCAUUUCAACUUUGGGGAUUGGUAGGGAUCUUGAUAGAAGUUAGGAGAGGAAGGAAAAAAAAUCUCUGUCUGGAAUAUGUUCUGGUGGUGGACAACCGCGGAAGCAGACUACAGAGAAGACAAAUCCUAUUAAGCCAGCUGGAAGGACUGAGAGCAGCUGGUGCUUUGGAGGCAGAAGCAGCUAGGAAAGGCUCAGAAAAAUCUGCAUUGCAGAUAAGCCUCACGGGAGACAGCUGAACUCUGUAACAUCUCCCCAAACCAGCUUCUCUCCUGAGAGCGGAGUGGCCGCAGGUGGUGUAAUUUAGAACGUAAAUAAUUUCCAAGCCUUUCUGGUGACCUUGGAUGGUUUAACACAAUUCCAUCUUUUAUCUUGCUGCUUUUCACCAGUCGUGUUUGUGCAUGCGCAUGCGUGUGUGUGGAGGGGGUAGAGGGUGGGGGGUGGAGUGGGCAGAAAGCAGGAAAGGGACACAAUGAACAGGAUUGUGUACUGCCUUCCAUCCUUUUAUAGUUCUUUCCUACCUUUUAUUUAGUGUUAGGCUUGAUCUUCAUUAAACUUACAGUACUCAGCUUCAACACGGCAUAAAGAAAGAACUGAGCGCCUACCUCGACUAUUAAGAAGAGGGUGGGGAAAUAUAUAAACUUGGAAAGUCAUAAUAAUCGCUACUGAUUAUAGACCUUCAGCUAUGUCAAUUAUCUUCAUUAACUGCCUCAGUAUCCUAAUGAGGUUGAUCUUAUUCCGGUUUUGUACUACCAGGGCUGGAUAGAUUCCCAAUUUUUCACAGCUGAUGAGCGCCAGAAACUAGAUUUGAACCCAAGGGUAUCUAACUUCAAAGAAUGCACUUAUUCCACUACAUUAUAGCCCAGCAUCUGCUGAAGGCCUUUUAUGUGCCAGACAUUCUCCUUACAAAAGGCAAUAAUGGCCAUUGCCUCCAGAAAUCCCUGCUUCGUUGGGAUAAAGGCAAUGGUAAUAAAUAGCUUUAUAAAUAGAGUCUGUUAUUAAAAAAACUUUUCUAAAAAGACUUCAUAUUUUCUAGAAUGUGUUCCCAAAUAGUAAUUUAGAAUUCUACUUAAAACACACACAUGCACACUGUAAUUAAAGUCUAGUAUAUGAUCACAAGAACAGUAAGUCACUGUGGGGAUGAGCGAUGAUUGAGGGGAACACAGGAUUGUUAGGACGGCGACGACACUCUGUACAAUAUUAUAGGGAAGGACACACGUCCUUAUACAUUUGUCGAACUCGCUGAGUGUACCCCGCAGUGAGCCCUAAGGUACACUGUGUACUCUGGGUGAUGGCGGUCUGUCAGUGGCCAUCCUUGAUGGAAAAUGGACCAUUUUGGCGAGACAUGCUGAUCACAGGGAAGGCUAUGCGUGUGUGGGGGCGGGGAGUGUGUGCAAACUCCCUGUACCUCCCUCUCAGUUUCGUCAUAAACCUAAAACUGCUCUAAAAACAAUGUCUGAAUAAAAGGGGUAUAUAGAGCAAGAGCAGAACAGACAUUUUGGACACCUCCGACAAUCCAAUAUGGGGUCACUGUUGCCAUGACAGUUAUGUCAAGUGCUCUGUACUGAUCACAGGGUCAUGGGGUGUAACAAGUAUGCUCUUAGGAGGGGGACCCAGACACCCAAAACCACAUUUAGAUAAGGAGUCCAUCUGGACACCGAUAUGAGUGGGACCUACGCCCCUGGUGGGCUAUAAGAACUCAGAGCUCUGACCACCUGAUGGCCAAGCUCAGCUGUGUCAUGGGUCACGCUUGGAGCCCCGCUGGACUUUCACUGCGCAGGAUGCAUGCCACCUGCUUGAACUAACACCCGCUUCUCCACCUGUGGACGCCAGGGACUGGGACUUCUUACUGGACACUCGCUCUGCUCAUGUCUAUCGCAUAAGGUCCCCCACACCCCACCGUGUGUGGCCUGCAUGAGACUCUGUUGGCUUAUCAGAGAGGUCUCCCCGAGUAAACCUGGCAUGGUGGAAAGACACAAACGUGUGCGAGUGACUCCUUCUGGGGACACUGCCUUGUUCACGGCAAGGGGGAAAAGCCGCAAAAUAAAUAUCUAAUUAAAGGGAGAGCAUAGACAUGGUUUUCAUGAUCUAGAGGGUGAAUGAAAUGAUAAAUGGAACUUGUCAGUUAGGUAUGCUUUUUAGGGAAAGACAAUAGAAUAAGAAAUCAGUCUGUCAGUCAGUCAGCAUCGUUUUCAAGCAAUCACUCUUUGCAGUAGUUUCUGGGGUUCUAGUUAGGACUGAGACAAACACUCAAGAAGGUUCCAGUCUUGUGCGGGAGACUUGCAUUGAGUUGAUAAAUAGUAAGUGAGACAAGUGCAGAGUGCUAUGGAGUAUGUAUGGCAGGUCUAUGUUAGACCAGAGUCCGAGAGAAGGCUUGACCAUGGAAUCUGAGACCUGACCAAUAAGCAGGACUUGAGAAAGUGGAGGGGCUGGGGAGGGAGGAGUGGGGUGGGAAGAGGAGUAUAGAGAGUGUUCUAGGCAAAGAGAAAAAAUAUAUAUGCAAUAGCCCCAAGGCAACAGACUCAAGAUGGUCCUAGAAAGCCAGAAGCCAGAUCAUAGGUGGCCAGGAAGCACAGUUUAUAGAUUCCCAACUUUAUGCUUACUACGGAAAGUGUUGAAAGACUUUAAACACAGGAAUAUCAUAAUUAGAUUGUAUUUUUAAAAGAUGGAGCAAGAGUUGAUGCAGGAAGCUAUUGUGGUUGUGAAGAUCAGAGAGGAUGAGAGACUAACAUGAUCCUUGGGGUACAGAAUAGAUUUGAAAAAUUAGAAAGUAGAACUGAUAGGACUUGAAACUUGACUGGACUGGUAGACUUUAGGUAGCAAUUUUAAUAAAUGUUAUUUACAUAAAUAACAAUGAUAGUUGAUAAAGUGACAUUUCAGAGCCUUUGAGAGUACAUAAAAAUUAUAAAAUUGUUAUUCAAACGGUGAGUAAGGUAGACUGUAAUGGGAAAAUCCCAAUAGCAGUGGCUUACACCCAACAGAAAUUCAUUAUGAGAUUAGCUCAUAAUGUUCAUAUUCAAAAUGGCUGCUGAGGAUCCAGCCAUUUAGUCUCAAUUCCCAACUGCAGAAAGAUGUAGAAGUGAUGACAAGUAGUUGACCUAAGUUUCACACACAACUUGAAUUCUCACCUUACUGGCCAGAAAUUAGUCAUACGGUCACAUCUACUUGCAAAGGAGACUAGAAUUCCCCAAACGUGGGAGCCCCAUUAUUACUGGGGAAGAAGACAGAGAUCAUCAGUAUUUUGGACAAAAAGUAAUCUGCACCACAUUAAUUACGGGCUAAGCCCUUGGGUAUGGACUGUAAAAAACUAAAACGUAUAAAUUGUACCAGGCCUUAACAACAACAUAAAAUUAAAAUACACUGAAAUGAAUCCACUUUGAAAUAACACUACACAAUUGCUAAGACUCCAAGGACACUUUCUAACCUCAGUUACCAUCUAGAUGGGCUGGGGAAGUCCAACAGAGUUUCACCAUCAAUAAAUAUGGUUUUAGACUGCUAGAAAGCAGCCUCAGCUAUGCCAGUAGUGAAGUAUAGUUGAUUAUGAUUUCAUUUUCUUUAUUUUUAAUAGUGACCAUAGAAAGCCAAACUAAUGUUUUUUAUUUACUUUCCUUAGCACAAGGCCUUGAGUUUAAAUUAUGUUAUGUUACUAAAUCCAUUAACAUUUCACUAGGUCUGGUGAUUUAACCUCUACAGACAUUUAACUUGAGAUUAUAAUGACUUCGUGCAGAAAAUGAGAAUUAGUGGCAGGCAGGGAGUGAUUUAUUUUAUACUUUGUGUCUUUGAUGUGUUCUUGGUUUGUUUCUAAGAAUAAAGGCUGCCAGCAAGAUUCCGUGUUUGGACAAUCUAGGGAAAAUGCUCCUCUCAUCCACAUGUGACUCCCAGGAUGCUGAAGUCAAGUUCUGGUGCGACUCCUAACUUGCCCCUUAACAUGCCUUUGACUUUUACAAUGAAGCCACUUUCCUGUUAUUCUCAUAUUCUUUGUUUUCAUUUUACUGUGUUUUGUGUCCCAGACUCACUGAAAGAACAGAAACCUUUAAUUAAAUCAAGCCAUAUAAAACCAAUAAUAGUAUUGUGGCAGCUAAAGAGCAGCAUUAAAUUAUACUCAUUAUUAACAUAAAUAGUCACAUUCUUAAUUUUGCCAAGCAAAGGAUUAUGCAACAUUCGGUCACAUAUUCUAUCCUAUCAGUUAAAUCAAUACAUAUUUAUUUAUUUAACUCUGAUGUUGCAUAUUCCCUAUCUACUUGGUCCGCUUACUUCAGUAUUGCUGCCAGUGCACGAUUUCUGGGUCUUCACAUUGCAUAUCGUUUCUGUUGUCUCUGCUUAGGGUUACCGUGCAGUCCUGUUGAGUAGGGAAGUAGUUUUCCUGUAACUAACGCUCAUCUCCAGGUUUUUGCAUUUGUUACUCUAGCCUUAGGUAUAAAGACAGUUUAUAUUUACAUUCUGUGUUUGAGCUUACAACAUGCAUUCACAUGUUCACCUCAACACUAAAAACCAGUUAUCAUCUUUAUUUUUCAAGAAAAAAAGGCCUAGGAAAGAGAAGUGAUUUUUCCAGCUAGCUAGUAAAUAGUAGAGGUAGAACAAUAGAAUUAGUGUAAAAGAGUGUAGUGCAAACAUAUAUUGAUGUUAUGAAAAUCAUAGUGAAGAAAAUGAAAUAUGGUCACUGAUGGAGAAGUUACACAUAUUUCUUCCUCCAAAUCAGUAUUAAAGUGAUUUUUUAAAUGUUAAAAAAGAAUGUAACCUAACAAAAAUAUUGAAGCUAUUCUAGAAGGCGGAAUGCACAUGGGCUGAGACAGAAAGAGAAAAAAAAAAGGAAGGAAACUGCUGGUAGGAGCACUUCAACGAAUAGCAAGCUUUUUAAGGAAACCUGGAGAAACUUCAAGUUUAGAGUCUUCAGUCAGAGUCCAAGGGGAGUGGAGAAGAACCAGUAUCAUGGCAGUUCAUUCAGAACAUGCUCAGAACAAUUGGGACCCUUCUUUCUCUCCCUCGCUACUAUACUUUUCGCUGACAGGAGAAGCUUUUGCCUUUAAGGGUGGAAAUGAGAACUAAUCUUUAAUGAAAGCAGGUGAUCAGUUUUGGAACCCGGUCCGGUACAGAUAAAUGGAUGCAGAAUGAACACAUAUUGUGGCAUUGAGUUGGUCCUGGCCUGCUCCCCUUGUUGGCUCCAUCCCCAUGCUCCUCGGGGAUGCUGCUUCCUGAAUACCCAGACCUGCCAGGCACAGCGAGGGGCACCCAGGUCUGCUCAGCCACAGAGGAAACCUGCAACAACAGCUACCUAUGAUCCUCAGCCUAGUUCUCCAUUCAUCAGAAUAAACAGAGAAAACACCCUCCAAAUCAAUCUGAAGAAAACCACAAGCUGAACAAGGAAAAUACUUAAAAAAAAAAAGAUUCUUGGGGGAAAGAGAGAUAAUCUUGGAAACAGGAGACAACUUAGAGAACUUAGAAAGAAUAUUGCAUACAUCAAAAAUAUACUUCCUUCUGAAAAAUAAAAUUAUGGAAAACUACCAGCCAUACAAUAAGAACUCUUAGAAAUUAAUAUAUGAUUUCUCAAAUAAAUAAUUCACUAAAUUGAAAUAAUAGAAUCAGCAGGGCUGAAGGCAAAUAAUUCAGCUAAGAAGAGGAAGAAGACAAAAACUCCUAAAAUGCAGAAAAAGUGAAAGGGGGAUUUAAAAAAUAUGUGAAAAAGGAGACAUGACAUUCAACCCAGGAAGUUCGACAUUUACUGACGGGAAUCCCCUAAAUAUAGAACAGAGGCAGGGAUAGCAAGAAGGAAAAAAAAAAAAAACAGAGAAAACUUUCCCUGAGUUAAAAAGAUAUAAUUUUAAAUGAUCAGAUUACCAAAUGGGAUAAAUGCUAAAAGACUUCUAUCGGAACACAUCCUUUUGAAAUUUCACAAAAUUCCUAAACUCUACUAGAAAGAAAAAAAAAAAUCAAGGUUAUUCACAGAAGAAUGAGAAUCUGACUGAUAUCAGACUUUUUAUCAGUAACACUGGAUGCUUAAAAUCAAAUGAUAUUUGAAUGAACUGUAAAAAAACAAACUAAAAAAGAAGGCAGAAAGGGAGAGACAGCGUUAGUGUGUAAAAUUCCUCAUUUUUAUUGUAGGAAGUCAAUAGAUAAUGUUCAAAGUUAAGAAACUGAACUACUGUAUACAGUCAAAAGAUCUCUUAGAGAACAGGAAUUAUUAAAAUAGUUUUCAGGGGAUGUGAGACUGGAGAUGGGUUUAGGGUGAAAGACUUCAAUUUUAUUUUGGUCCAUUUGGCUUGAUUUAUUUUUUAUGAUGUGCGGGUAUUAAUUUAAUUAAAAAGGAAUAAACUCACCACUUACUCUAAAAUAUACAUUGCAUGCCUACUCUAUGCUAACAAGUUUUCCAGGCACUAGAGAAAUACCAAAGGCAGAAGACAAACUUAAGUUUCCAUACUUUUAGACUUUACAUCCUUGUGGGAUGAGACAGAAAACAAACCAAAACUUUGCCACUAUUGACAUUUUGUGCCAGAUAACUCUUUGUUGCAGGGGACUGUCCACUGUAGGAUGCUUAGCAGCAUCCCUGGACUCGACUCAUUAGAAGUUAGUAGCUCUUGCCCAGUUACGAUAAUCGAAAUGUCUCCAGACAUUUCCAAAUGACCGCUGGCAGAGGGGGUGAGUUGUCCCUGGUUAAGAAGAACUGGUAUAGGACGUAGCUUUGGGGCCAGACGGACCUGGGUUUUACUUCAAGCACCACCAAGUAUAAGGUCUUUCUCUUUGAGAAAUACAGUCAACAUCACUAAACCUUGUCUCCUCUUCUGUAAAAUGGGGAUAAACUAUUUUCCAAGGUCUUAUCCCCCUCUUCUUCCUCCUUCCCUAUUUCUUUUUAAACAAUCACAUGAGAAAACUUAUGUACUUGGCACAUAAUAUGCAUUAAAUAAAUAACAACUCUUAUUAUUUUAAUUUUCACCAUAGCAAUGAUGAUGAAGAAGAAAAGGACAGAAGUCUGUGGAGUGGAGGGUGAGUGCCAAGGGCUAGUGAGGGGUGAGAGGUCUGUGCAGUCCUUGAAAGUUUGGGCCAGGGGUCUGGUUAUGCUCCAGAAUGGCACUCUCCAAUAAAACACUGUGAUUAUGGAAAGGUACUAUAAUACACAAUGCCCUAUAGUACAUAAUGUUCUAAGAAAAUAAUAUGGCUAUGGAGCACUUAAAGUGUGACUAAUGUGACCAAGGAAAGAAAGAUUAAUUAUUUUUUUAAUAAUUUAAAUUGAAAUAGUUGCAUAGGGCCAGGAACAAUCAUAUUUAUUGGCCAGUACAGCUCAAGAGAGCAAAUGAGAACCACUGAAAGGAACAAAGAGAAACUGCAGAGAAAGGUGCCACUGUCUGUCUGGGAGACCAAGGGGGUGAUGGUGUUCAGGGCAGAGCAACCAGAUAAAGCAUUUCUGUAACCCCAACAUGGUAUAAUGAGAGCUUGGAUGAGGGUGGUGGAUAGGAGAAUUGGGGAACAGGAGGGCCACCAGAACGAGCAUGUCCUCGGUAGACCCAUCCCUGUGGCCUCUGCCUGGAGACACGUGACCUCAACCCUAACCCUACUCAAUAGCCUCUGAGGUUGUCACCUUCUUUAUGCAUGCUACCUUUCCAUCUGCAUCUGAGAUCAGAACUGGGGUUCACAGCUUCCCCCUCAACGUUCUUUAUAAGCUCUUAUUCUAACCUGCAAAUCACAAUGCCUGCUUUUAAAGGUGUUUCUCCACAAAUCUGAUUUUCCAAAACUAUAAUGACUUUCUUUGCUAUCUCAGGCUCUUGCUGAGUUAUUUACCACUUGCCUAAAAUUCUGUGAAACUUAGAACUAAACAAUGGACUCUUCUUAUUAAUCUACCCUCCGUCAAAUGCUUUUAAGUCAGUAAGAUUACAUUUUCUAUGCCAUAUUUAGCCUAUCUCCUUUGCAUACUGAAAGGUUUAGAACCAUUUCAGUAGUAACUGUUAUUUUCACUAGUAUUUACUGAGCUCCACGCUGCAUGGUUUUAGGCUCUAAAUGCUGGAGUCUUUUGGGAGAGCAGGGCAAUCCAUUUAAGUGAAGGUCAUGGCUACCUUGGAAUGGGUUCUUUAAUUUAGCAAUCAAGUGCAUUAUAAAUUGUGCAGAUUUAAGACAGUAUACUCAUUUAUCUGCUUUGAAGUUGAAAGUAAAAGGCUUUGGAGUCAGAAGGAUAUGAGCCCCAAGUUUGCCGUUUUCCAGUGGGGAGAGUUGGGUAGGCCACUUGCAGUCUUCUAACUUUAGUUUUCUCAUCUGUGAUAAAUAUAAGAUCUACCAUUCCCACACCAGAGACUGUUGUUGAGGUUUGGGAUGUCAUGUAUUAGAAAAUGCUUUCUAAAACUUAAAAAGUGGUACAGAAUGUUUCUUUCUUAAAGUCUAAAUGCAACAUAAUUGGUUGCAUUAUUCCAAUAAUUUUAUAAUCUAAAGUUCACAACCUGGUUCUUUUUGUGAGUAUAAUACACAAUACAGAACUAAAAAUGCAUGUACACAUUAAGCUAUAUAUUACAUGUCUUAUUUCCCUUUCAUAUAUUGGGCUAUCCACCAUCUUGUAGAGAAAAAGUACAGCAUUCUGACCAGAGUUCUAUGAGUUACAUAGGCCCAUAAGUUCUAAGGAAGAUUUCCAAAUUUUUUUCAUUGUUAGAUCUCAAGUACCAAUGUAAUCUUAUAAAGUCAUUAAUUUUAAGGCUUUCUGUCCCCACUGUUUAAAGUAUAGACAGCCUAGUUAUUUUUUUUGAGAUUCUAGAAUAUCACAAAUUCACUGCAAUAUGUUCAAAAUCAUGCUAUCCAGUUGCUCUUGGGCAAUGUGUGAAAAGAAUCUUUACUGCCACGGUGUUGCACCUUAUUCUGUAUACAUAACUAUGGAAUCUUAUCACAAGAAAAUCAUAUAAGAAGCAAGAAAAUAUUUUUAAAGAAAACUAAACAUAAAGAUUGUUAACCUUGAAAAUAUAUGAUCUUUCUGUAAAAAAAAUCAUUUCCUCAGUUCUUACACAAUGCGAAGAAAUAUUUUUGGGUUCUAAUGUGUUAAAUAGAGUAGCUUUGUUUUAACAAUUGCCAGAUGUGGAUCAAGGUACUUCCGGCUGCUUUAAAUGGUCAUAAUCCAGAGUCAUUAACACCAGGAGAGAAUCUGAAGAAAGGUUAAUUCAAACCAUCCAAGGCAGACUCCAAUGAAAUCCACACACACACAAAGGAUUGAUUUAGACUUUUUUUUUUUUGAGAGAGAGACAGGGAGGAUUUGCGUCAGAAAGACCAGAAAUUAUCCUGUGCUACUCUGAGACUCUUAACUACCGAACACAGUUAAAGGGGCAUAAGGGCACAGGCAUGGUAUCCAAAUUCUGGAAAUCUUAGCAAUUACAGUUCGACAAUGCAAAGAAGACUAGCACUGUCCAUCCCAGGAAGACUGGAGUUACACACUCACACACUCACACACGAUACUCCUUUUCUCAGAUUCCGUUUGGCAGAUGCAUCAAGGGCAUGUUCUAUGUAGCCAACAAAGGGAGUAACUCAGAUGCCAAGGGCAUGAUUUCUCUCCUCACAGAUAUGUUCUAAAUGUUCUCCUUGAAGAAGUGUGGUUAUCCAUUUACACUGACUCCUGUUCAUAUAAACUGAUUUGAGAUUUCACUAGAAUUUUUAAUUUAAAGUUCCUAAUGACUCUGCUCAUGCCCACUUGGCUGUUUAAAUAAACACCAAAUUACAAAACAACAGGGACAAGAUCCAGCGAUCCAAGCCUAGAGAUAGCGCCAACCCUUUAAACAAAGGAUAAACACGAAUAAGUAUGAAGACAUCACAGAUGUUUCAUAUGCACUUAAGCUGUUCUCCUGGAUGGAUGAGUAGGCCGUAUUUAUUGAAUUUGUUAUUUCCUUCGUUUACAGCUGCAAAGUGUGGUGUGGGAGGAAGCAAACAGGUAAAUGUUCCCAAGUUCCUGCAGCUACAAAGGAGCGUUGAGAGGCAGAGCCUAGCAGUGGAGGCGGAAAGACUACACCCCUCCAGACAGAGCCUGUCAGGGCUUUUUGUGAGCGCUUUGCCUCCGUGAACGCUCCAACAGCCAAUAAACACGUGCAUCCUUCCUUCAGAAGAAAGCAGGUGCCAUCAUCAACCAGAUCAGUUGUCCAGAAAGAAAUGAUUCUGUUGGGAAAAAUGCAUUCCUUAAACCAGAGACUAUCCUCAAAACUGCCCUGUGGCUCUCGGCAGAGUCCCCCAAAGCUUGGAUUUAGAUGUGAGAGACCAGAGAUGGCAGGUGGAGACCCAGAAGCUUCGCUACCAAGCACAGAGCAACGCAAGAGGUGUCAAGAGCUAGAGGGGCAGAGAAUUUAGUAGGCCAGCACCAUGCUGAACCUCCAGGCAGAGUUCAAGGAAGUCCAAAGAAAUCACGAAGCAGGGAACAGAAGUGGAGUAAAGAAACUGGCAGAGAAUUACGUGCAAUUGCAUCCCCAAACCUGAGCCACAAGGAUUCAUCAUAUGGCACAAUAAGCACUGAGCAUUGGCAGGACAAAUGAAAUGUCAAUAGCUCCUUAGGGCUGGUUUAAUGGAUCUUUCAUAAAACCAUUGGCUGGAAUCGAAAUAACUCACAAGAGAAACAAUUCUCGCUCUCACCAUCAAAGAGGUUGUGAAGUAUGUAGUGCUUUAACAGCUGCAGGAAGAGAAGGGCUCACAUUUGACCUGCUCAUAACAACUUCUCUAAUCACUUCUAAUUUUUCUUCUCUGGACAUUCACCUCUCAACCUCUAAUCAAAGCGAGGUCCACAGACCAGCCGUGGCCACACACCACCUGGGAGCUUGUUACAGAAUCUCAGGCCUGUCCCCAGACCUACUGACUCUGGAUCUGCAUGUUAGUAGGAUCUCAGUUGAUUCCUCUCUGCUGUAAAGUUGGAAAAGCAUAUCUCCUAGCAUCUAUUCUUACCCCUUAUCAUUCAUUCUCUGCACAGUUGCCUGAAUAAUCUUUUAAUUUAGUUUGUGUCCCCACUGAUUAUUCCCCCUGUAGAAAGGAAAGCCCAGUGAGGGCAGGAGCAGUGCGUGGGCUGGGCCCCACUAAGUCCUCCGGAAUUUACUGGUGAGCUACUCCCUACGAGGCAGUCUGCUAGGAACCAGGGAAACAAUACAAACAGAAGAGGGCUUCUUUCCUCAAGCAGCUUUUAGCUACCUCUCUCCCUUCACAUUUCCACUUCCCAAAGUCCAACAUUAGAGUCACCUUUGAGUCCUUCUGCUUUUUGUCCCUCCUACCGGUCAAGGUCUUGGCUAUUCUCUGUUUAUCAGUUCAAGCUCAAGAAACAUCCCUCACUGUCACGACCUCUCGUUGCAUGCUCACAGUCAACAGUCGCUUCAAGCCUCCAUUUUUUCCUGAAUGAUUUCAAAGUGAUGCUUUCUUCAACAUGCUCACUCACUCACAAGUCUAAUUUAUCUCAUGAGGCUAUAAAAAAAAAGUCAUCUGAACAUGCAGUUAGGGUCAUAAUGGUCUUUUAUUCAAUAUACACUCAAUAGCUUCCCAUUGAACUCUGAAAAAAACCCUCCUCAACUUGGCAUUUAAGGUCCAUUGCGAAUGUAUUAAGUUGAACUGAAUAAAACAGAACAGAAUAUUAUCCAUUUCAUACGGUGCCACCUAAUAGUAUUCACGUACCUUUCCAUCCUUAUCGUCUAAGAAUGCCCUUCUGUCCUGCACGCUAGAAUACAAAUGAGAUCAGUCUACACUUUCCAAGCAUGUUCACUUCCUUUGGUUCCUUUGCUAAUGUUUAUUCUUCUUGGAGUUCCUCUAUGCAUUCUCUCUCCCCUGAAUACUUCCAUUCAUCCCCAAGUUCCAUCUCAAAGGACUCACCCUCCGUGAUGUAUUUCCUGUUGAGUCUCUUCUCAAUUGUUAGUAAUCCUGCCAUACAAUGAAGUCCUUAAGAAAUGACUCAUGUGUCUCUUACAGUACCAAUGAGCAUUGGUGCUACUUCUCGUCUUAUUCUUCUAUACUGAGCACUGAGCUCCCAAAGUGUUUUGCUGUAUAUAUUCCUUUGCAAGUAGAGCAUCUUAAUACAUUAUUUGUGUAAUUGUUAGUACCCUCAGUUAUUUUUCUGGUCAGUUUUACUUAAGUUUGAAUGUGGUAUUUUCUCACUGUACAUGAUAGUCCCUGAUUGUUUAUUAUUUUAGCCAUUUGAAACUUCCUUUGUCAUUAUUUAAAUUAUGAGGAAAAAAAAAACCUUUGCAAGAUAAGGCACCCAUUACACUAUCUAGCACCUGAAUUGUCUCAUUUUCUUACAUAGAUUACACAGUUCACUAAUGUAAAUUCAUUGUAAUGACAUAGGAGAUGCUUUAUUAAUUCAUUUUAAAACAUCCUCAUUUAUCUCUGAUGUUACUCCUUAAAGAAGAAAGUUCCCUGGGUCAAAUAGAAAAUAUACAUUACAAGUAUAAAAUCUACCAGAACUUGAAUAUUAUAGUGAAGUAUUUGAAGAUCUAUUUACCUCUUCAUUAUGUAUAUUAAAAAAAGAAUCUACAAGCAUACCAUUUAACCUUAUUGCAGAACAUAUAUUUCAUGUGCAUACAGGAAACAUUAAAACAAUGACUACGAGCUCAAAACUUACUAGAAAAAAAAUGCUGUGCAUUGUGAUUAGUAUGAAAGACUCUGGGCCUGUCUUGUAUUUGAUUGUUCACCUGGAGUCUCAGUUCAUUCGUUUGUAAAAUGGACACCGUGCUCACUUCCCAGGAUUACAGCGAGAGUUAAAAUGAGACUCCAUGACAUGCACUAAGGGCUCAGAGUAUUAUCUGGCACAUUGUCAACAAAAAUCAUAAUUUUAUUAAUAAAGAUAAACGACAACAAGAAAGGAUAGCUUUCUCUAAAGCUGUUAUGAUUCUAGAAGUUUCUUUAUUGAUUCCUUAAGUAUAUAUGCAUAAAAUGAUGUCAUACUGAAGUAGUCCAUAAUGAGCAUGACAGUGUUGGAGGAGACUAUGACAUCACUGCUAGUGUUACAUUUGGAAAGAGGGGGAGAGCAACAGCCUCCUCCCCUCCGCUGCAGCACAGUCUGGGCCGAAGCCGCGCGGAGCAGUAAACAAUGUUGAGCCCGGGAUGUUCGGUGAGUGUCCAGAAAGCAAAACUCAUGCUGCAGUUUGGCCUCUUUCCCCAGCUGAUGAAAGUGAAAGGACAUUUCAACAAUUCUUUCCACCUUAACCUAAAACCAGGAAAAUUCUUUUCCAUAGAGCCUGGAGAAAUUUUUACACAUGGUUUGCCUGCUUUUCUACCUGGUAUUAUCUAAUUUAUUACCAUAAAUUAAGGGUUUAUAAUGAACAAGUGAGGUAACUAAAAAAAUGUGCUAAAUGUCUGUCUCACGGUACGUAAUCUCAUGAAAAACAAGAACAAAAAAGUAAUGGGGGGGAUUCAGAUUUUCCCAUCAAAUUUAUUUAUCCAUCAAGUAAUUCAAUAAAUACUUAUUGAACUGCCGUGCUCAAAACAUUAUGCUACGUGCUGAAGGUUACAAGUGAAAAAUCAAUAAAAGAAUUUAGUGCCAAAACUAAUGCCAAGACAGAUGUUGUUGGUUGGAAAAACCAUCAUCCAGAUCCCUGACUCUCCUAAGAGUCCAGCAUUCAAAUUCUAUUCUGAUUUGACGACAUAACAGUCUAUUUGAAUAAACUCUGGUUUAUUACACAAAAUCUGUCAACACAUACCUAGAUGAAUUUUUAAGUGGUGCUAGCAAACUUAGGGACCAAGAAGCUCUUGGUGAGGUAAUAUGCCACUCUUCUAGUUUAAGUUCCUACUGAGUAUAGUGAAGGCUCUUAUUUUGGUGGAUACAUAAUAACUUCAUCUGUCUCCAAUUCAUCUAAACACCCCAGAAUUCAAAAUUAAUGUAAUGAUUUGCUAGGGAGUCUGAAGAUUUGGAUACAGAUUCUCAUAAGAAAUAUAUACUGUAAAUGGAUUCUGUUAGGUGGGAAAAGAGAAAAGCGGGGGAGUUUAACCAAACAUAAAAUAUUUUCACUUACUGUGAGUGAAAGCUGAAAUGAAUAUGGCCCUAAGGGCUUUACAAUAUUCAGGGGAAACAGCAAGUCCUACUUGGAGAUUUCAUACAUGAUUUCCCGGAAUAAUUUCUGAGGAAACAGUGCAAUAUACUUCAUGGAUCUCUGAAUACAUGAAAGAAAUCUAAUGGAGGAGUCUAUUACAUCUUGUUCAAUAUCUGAAAUAAUGCAAUUUCUUUUCUUUUAGGGCACAGUGCUUUAUUUUAACAAAUUCAUUUUCUUGUGCAAAAAAGGGUAUAUGAUGCUGCCCACACUUUGGAAGGGUGGUGACAGUGACAUCUGCC